rnacentral:lncRNA from 1 species
UGAAGUUAGUUUUUAUAUAAAAAGUUUCUAAUAUUAAAAGCUUUACCGCUUGUAACCUUUAAAUUACUAUUAAAUUAAUUUGUUAUAAGAAGCAGAUAUAAGUAGAUGGAAACGUACAAUUAAUAAAUAUUAUUUUAUGGCCUUUAAACCGAGUAGAAAUGGAAAAUCGGAUAUGUUCCAACUUAUAAAUAAAUAAACAAACAAAUGAAAUUAACGCUCAUUCCAUUUUCUUUUUCUUUCUUCACCAAGUUAUGGAGUGCUUGAAAUAAUAAUUUGUAUUUCAAUUUGAUGUAGUUCUACAAUAUUAUCUUCUGUGACGAUUUUAUCUUGAUGUUCAGAACUGAGCUCAUGUAUUCAAAAGCCGUUGACUAUUUUCCAAAAUUGUUGUUUCAUCUUUACUGUUUCUAUGGAUUUGGAUGAGAGUUCUCAGUACUAUGAUGCAAAACUGUGUUAUACAAGAAAUUCAUCAGACCUGUUCAGUGCUGUUUUUGACUGUACUUUAUGUGGGAUGAUUUUUCAAAAUGAAAUGCUUCUUAGAAAGCAUGAAAAAAUACACAUUGUUCAUAAGCGUUAUAAAUGCCCAUUUUGUGAUCAUUCAACAGCAAAAUAUUGCAACUUGAAGGAACAUGUCGUGUAUAAACACACUCGAAACUUCCCUUAUGUAUGCUCCUUGUGUGGUAAAGGGUUUACUGCGAAAAACCGUCUUUAUUAUCAUAAAAUUAGUGUCCACUCUACUUCAUAAGUAAUUUUAAGUUUGAAUUGUGUAUUUGGACAAAUAUAGUCGAACUUGUUUAUUGUGCAGCUAAUUUAACAAGAUUCAGUGUGUCAUACCAUUGUAUGCAUUAUAAAAAUUUUAAUUUUGUUUAAUAGUCUUAUUUGAAUAGGAAUUAAAUUCAAUAAAUAGAAUGUCGCUCUCUAUCUGCCAAUAUAUUUACAUAAGUAUUCUAAGGUUUUUAUCAGAAUAUAUCUAUCUCUGAAUAAGUUAAAAUUUAAAACCCUUUUCAUAGUAAUUUACUUGUUUCUUGAUAGAUUGCUUGUUAAGUGAUGAUUAGAAACUGUUUUAGGUGGUUUUUCUUCACUUAUUUUCAAAAUUAGUUUUUUUUUUUUUUUCAAAAUUUUCUUAACUUAUUUUCAAAAUGAGUUUUUCUUCAUAAAUUUUAAAAUUUUCUUUGAAUGAAUGCUUCUAUAAAUAAGACUACUAAAAGGUGUUAUGCGAUAAUCAUUAGAAAUGGUUAAAACCCUGUACAAAACUGUUAUUACAAUCAUAACUUAGAUUUAAUGAAGAAUUUUUCAUAAAUUUCUUGAAAAUUAUUUUUGUGAAGUUAUCAGAAAAAAAAGUAUCUAACUGUUUAUUUCCAACAAAAACAAAAGGUUUUUGUUGUAAUAGAUUGUUGUUUAUGGAACAUCAUGUUGCUCAUGUUUCUGUAUGCAUAUUAUAUUUUUAAUCAAAUGUUUCAUUUCUUAAAUUUCAGAUUAUGAGUGUUGAAGAAUGGCAGAGAAUUAAAUCACAAACAAAACUCACAUGCUUUCCUCUACAGUUAAAAUAAAA